AUGAGAAAGCACGUUUCUAAAUGUUUCAUGAUUUUUGCCGUGGCUGAUCUUGCCCUACUGAACCUGCACUUAAUGGUGUGCCAGGUCAAGGUACCCUGCCCCGUUUGGGCUGGUGCUGAGGCUUGCAAGAGGCAUCGGGGCACAGCGGGGGCAGCCGAGACCCCCCAGCCCACCUCGGCCAGCGAACCCAGCUGUGCCACGGCCUCCCCGCAGUGGGAUGGCGGCCGACAGAAGCCCCCGCGCCGCUUCCCUUUGUGCCCUGCAUCACUCGCCUGGCUUGGCACGGCACUGCCAAUUCCCGGGCAAUGCCCAACUGGAGCGGCACCUCCCUUGUGCCCAGUUUGGAGGACUUGGGUCCCAGCAACACCGCUGCGAGCUGGCAGAAGGCGCGAGGCACCACCGCGGGUGCUGGAGGACCCCACCCGAAGGCCAAGCAGCCCACCCGACAGCCCGCCCGACAGCCCACCCCUCCUGCCGUGCUGGGGGUCGGUCCCGCCCGCGGCCGCCGCUGGCCCCACGGCUCACCCGUGGGACACGGCCCACCCCUCCCACGACACCAGCAGCAGGCUACCCGCCCCCCGGAGGCCCUACGGAAGGUGGGAUGCCGGCAGGGACCUUACCGGCGCGGCGGGGGAGGCUGAAGCGGGAAGCGCAUGUUGCAGAUGCGGCGCCACCGGCGCGCCCCCGGCCACCGAGCAGCGGCUUCCGCCGGCGGGCAGGGCGCGGAGGGCUGCCCCUUCCUCCAGAGGUGCCUCCAGGAUCGGGCCCUCGUCCCACCGGCGCCGAGACCGGGCCGGGCGGUCCUCCAGAGUCCUGUCAGUGAACCAGAAGGGUGGCGAGGCGCGACGAGCCAGCGCCCCGGGACACGGGGCACCGGGACGCCGGGACACCGGCCCGCCAGCGGCCCCCGCGCCCCCCCGCGGGCAGGGCCGGCCGCUCCCGCCGGCCAACGCCCAGCCUCCGCCCGCGGCACCGGCACCGGCACCCCCCGCCCCCGCGGCUCCGCCGCCGAGCGCCCCCCCCGCCGGCACCCCCGCCCCACCCCGCCCCGCCCCGCUGGGGAGCGGGCAGCACCGGCCCCGCCGCGCUCGCACAGGUAGCGGUCGGGGAGGGGCCCCCACCCAUCAUCAUCAUCAUCAUCAUCAUCAUCACCAGCCACAUCAGCACCAUCAUCUCCUCCCCCACUCACACCGCUCCGCCGGGCGCUCCCCGCGGCACCGCCGGGGCGGCAGCGCUGGGGCUGCGGGGCGGGGCGCGGCUCUGACCCCGCCCCCGACAGCGCCCUGGCCCCGCCCCCACCUGGCCCCGCCCCCUCUUGCAGCGCCCCGCCCCCGCCGGACCGCAGCGCUUUAA
rnacentral:lncRNA from 1 species